GCCCAACUGAGCCUCGGGGGUCCGGGGUGCAGGCUUCAAACCUGUAGCUGACUAGCGUCAGAGUGGUUCGACUCCACCUGGUGGGCG
rnacentral:tRNA from 3 species